GUACAGAGGUCUCAAGCGUUGUUCGGAUCCAUUGGGCGUAAAGGGUGCGUAGGCGGCGCGGUAAGUCGGGUGGUGAAAUCUCGGAGCUUAACUCCGAAACUGCAUUCGAUACUGCGGUGCUUGAGGACUGGAGAGGAGACUGGAAUUACGGUGUAGCAGUGAAAUGCGUAGAGAUCGUAAGGAAGACCAGUGGCGAAGGCGGGUCUCGUGGACAGUUCCUGACACUGAGGCACGAAGGCCAGGGGAGCAAACGGG
rnacentral:rRNA from 1 species